GGGCCUUUAGCUCAGGUGGUAGAGCAUCGGACUUUUAAUCCGCUGGUCACGGGUUCGAUCCCCGUAGGGCCCACCC
rnacentral:tRNA from 1 species